GACGGAGGGUGCAAGCGUUGCUCGGAAUCACUGGGCGUAAAGGGUGCGUAGGCGGGCAGGUAAGUCCGUGGUGAAAUCUCUGAGCUUAACUCAGAAACUGCCAUGGAUACUAUUUGUCUUGAAUAUUGUGGAGGUGAGCGGAAUAUGUCAUGUAGCGGUGAAAUGCUUAGAUAUGACAUAGAACACCAAUUGCGAAGGCAGCUCACUACACAGUCAUUGACGCUGAGGCACGAAAGCGUGGGGAUCAAACAGG
rnacentral:rRNA from 1 species